UACAGAGGUGGCGAGCGUUGUUCGGAUUUACUGGGCAUAAAGGGCGCGUAGGCGGCCCCGUGUGUCGUAUGUGAAAGCCCCAGGCUCAACCUGGGAAGUGCAUGCGAAACUGCGGGGCUUGAGCAGAGGAGAGGAGAGCGGAAUUCAUGGUGUAGCGGUGAAAUGCGUUGAUAUCAUGAGGAACACCGGUGGCGAAGGCGGCUCUCUGGAAUCUUGCUGACGCUCAGGCGCGAAAGCCGGGGGAGCAAACAGG
rnacentral:rRNA from 1 species